rnacentral:rRNA from 1 species
UGCUGCUAUUAGGAUUCCGCUUAGGCAUGCAAGUUAAGGGGGUUUCUUCGGAAACCACCGGCGAACUGCUCAGUAACACGUCGGUAACCUGCCCUAUGGUCUGGAAUAGCCUCGGAAAACUGAGGGUAAUGCUGGAUGGAGAACGCUACUGGAAUGUGCGUUUCUUUAAAGCUUUUGCGCCAUAGGAUGGGCUGGCGGCGGAUUAGGUUGUUGGUGGUGUAAUGGACCACCAAGCCAUAGAUCCGUAGGGGCCUUGAGAGAGGUUGCCCCGAGAAGGACACUGAGAUACUGGUCCUAGCCCUACGGGGUGUAGCAGCUAGGCAAACUUUACAAUGCGCGAAAGCGUGAUAAGGGGAUCCUAAGUGCUCUAGGUUUCCUAGGGCUUUUGCCAAAGGUAAAGUCUUUGGCGAAUAAGUGGUGGGCAAGACUGGUGCCAGCCGCCGCGGUAACCCCAGCGCCACUAGUGGCAACCAGCUUUAUUGGGUCUAAAGCGUCCGUAGCUGGCGCGUUAAAUUCUCUGUGAAAUCGUGGAGCUUAACUUCACGGCGUGCAGAGAACACUGACGUGCUUGGGACCAGGAGAGGUCAGCAGUAUUCUGUGGGGAGCGGUAAAAUGCUAUAAUCCACGGAGGACUACCGAUGGCGAAGGCAGCUGACCAGAAUGGAUCCGACAGUGAGGGGCGAAAGCUAGGGGAGCGAUCCGGAUUAGAUACCCGAGUAGUCCUAGCUGUAAACGCUGCGAGCUAGAUGUUGCACAAUUUACGUGAUUGUGCAGUGUCGUAACGAAGGUGUUAAGCUCGCCACCUGGGGAGUACGGUCGCAUGGCUGAAACUUAAAGGAAUUGGCGGGGGAGCACUACAAGGGGUGCGGCGUGCGGUUUAAUCGAAUUCAACGCCGAGAACCUCACCAGGGGCGACGGCAGGAUGAAGGUCAGUCUGAAGGGCUUACCUGACGAGCCGAGAGGUGGUGCAUGGCCGCCGUCAGCUCGUGUCGUGAGAUGUCCUGUUAAGUCAGGUAAUGAGCGAGACCUGUAUCCAUUAUUGCUAACCGGUUCUUCGGAAUGACGGAGCACAUUAUGGAGACUGCCUUGGAAACAAGGAGGAAGGUGCAGGCUACGGCAGGUCUGUAUGCCCCGAAUCUCCUGGGCUACACGCGCGCAACAAUGGUACGGACAAUGGGCUGCGACACCGAAAGGUGAAGCCAAUCCUCCAAACCGUAUCCAAGUGUAGAUUGAGGGUUGCAACUCACCCUCAUGACAUCGGAAUCCCUAGUAAUCAGACGUUAGCAUCGUCCGGUGAAUAUGUCCCUGCUCCUUGCACACACCGCCCGUCAAAUCAACCGAGCAGUCUUUGGGUGGGCCCUAGUUUUCUUGACUAGGCCGAACCUGAGGUCAGUGAGGUGGGUUAAGUCGUCACAAGGUA